UUGGUGGUUGCUAGUCCCAUGUUUACAAAUAAACAAAGUUAGAUGGAGAGACAAGGUGGGUGAGGUAAUAUAUUUUAUUGGUAAUAUCCUGGGACCCAGAAGGCUACAACUCUCCAUUCAAAGUUACAUGGAAUCCGAUUCUCGUCUCAUAUCUAGCAUUGCCAAAACUGCCUCCCUAGUUGCGGUUUUCAGUACAGUCUGAAUAGAUUCAAUUUAAGGUUAUUUUAAUAGCUAAUUUGUUAGUAAAAAGCUUAUUUAAGCAAAUAUAAGAUUUUCCAAGUUUAGAAAGGAGGUAAUCAGAAGAAUGGCACUUCAUUUUCAGAAGGGCUUCGGAUAACUUAGCUGAUCAGAUAAUAGAUGUUACGUAGGUAAGAGCUAUUGCAUGAUACAUACCGAUUUUUUUCUUAAUACCGUAGGGAGUGUGUAAAGUUCACAACCAAAAGUCCUUACCAUAUUGUUUUCCGUAUUCCUUGUUUAAUACACUUUAAUACAAGCUGUGCAAGGGCUAUAUAUCAAAUGUCGAUGUCGUUAAUUAAGGUUUAUAGUUUAUUCAUGUUUGAAGUGAAGUUGGACAUAGUUGAAGAGGCUGCAUGUGGAACACACAGUUGAACACUGAAGAAGCGAGAAGACACAUUUUAGCAGUUUGAUCCGUGAUCAGUACAUAUAACACUACACCCCCACUCGUGUCGAGCGAGUGUCUAAAGAAAUCAGUCAGACUCCGCGGCCAUUUAUAUUCAAAAUGACAAAAAGAGUUCAGAUGAAAUACCCUAGGAAACUCCGCCUUUUGGAAAGAAACGCUUUCUGUGUUUUUGUUUAUUAUUUUUUAAUCAUGUCGUUAGCACGAGCAGUCAAACAGAAACGCCAACAUUCAUAGUCUUAAAUUUAUGGAUUCUAAAAAGAGAUUUACUAUGGCUGAUCAAUUUGUAGUGUUCCUUUCUUUACAUCUUUUUGCAAGCUAUUAUAUUUUUCUUGGGAAACAAACAAACAAACAGACAAACAAACAAACAAACAAACCCAAACACAUUCAGUAAAGUAUCAGAUUUCAGAAUCAGUCAAGGAGAUCAAAUCCAAUUUCCUUCUAAUGAGAUUCUGGACCUUUCUUUACUUAAAACAUUACUUUUAGAACAACUAUGUUUAUUUGAUUCGGCACUGUUUACAAAUAGCUUUUAAUAGCUCAUUGUUUCCUGAAGUGGUUACAUUUCAGUCUUGCUUCUUAGUAUGAAAUCAGCGAGGCUUCUAUAUAACGAUUGAAAUCCACCUCCUCUUCACCUAUAACAGAAACGAGAACAGAAAACGUCAAUUCUAAUUUCAGAGGGGGAAGGGAGGGGAGGAACAAAUACAUUUUUUUUUUACAGUGAAAUGGCAUGUAUCCAAGCAGUGUUUCUUAGCUCAUGCUUUGUGAGACUAUAGCCUAAAGUAGGAAAAUUCGCCACUAUUACACCUCCAUAUCUGGUUCAUGCUAGUUUAGUGACACUCACUAAACAAAGCAAAUUUAACCACUUAAAAGGAAAAAAAAAUAUUCCCUGACACGGACAGAGAUUGUUAGAAACCUCAAUUUAAAACCUCUCAUUUUCUUUCUGUCAAAUACAGCUGAGAAAGUUUUGUGAGUACGGUUCCUUCUUGGAAGAGGAUCAGCUAUAUUUAAAGGGGAGAGGGUGGGUAAUAGGUAGGUGUUUUGGUUAUGCCAGCCAGCAUAAUCCGACACCCCGUUGCUGUGUCUAAACCGAAAUAUAUACUACUAGAAGAUCUGAAUCAAUCCCUGGGAGUUUUAUUUAAUAAGGAUUGGAGUUUUCUGGGAGUCCUGAAGUUUCCCCUGUUAUUUCAAUCCCUUAAAGCUCCACGAAGCGGGGACCUGGGUCAGCCCCGGGAAAUAAAGCCUUGCACCUAUUUCUCGAGUCCAAAGCGUCGAAAGGGUUAAUGAGUCCUGAACGGGGCUCGCACAGGGGCAAUUGGAAAAACCGAAUCGCUUUCAAGACAUCCGUUUAGUCAGUACGAAAAAAAAAAAAAAGGCUCGCGAAACAUGGUUUGGGGAAACCUGCAGAGGAAAUGGACACAGUCUACAUUUCAGGGCUCAGUCCUCACGGUGAAGCUGAAGGAAUCAGCAGCUUCCAGUUAACACAAUUCAACCCCAGAUGAUUCUGUCCGUGGACGUCUCCUGUUCAUAGGGCUGCUUAAUUUCAUGGGUAUUUUUUGCCACCACAUAAAUCAAGCACGCCCGACCAGGUUUUUAAGGAUUGGAUGAUUUAUAUGCAUCAAAUCGGAUCUCUGAAAGCUUUUGUUUCACCCGUGUGUUUGAUAAUAUUUCUGUUAUCAGUAGUGUGCAUCUGUAAAUGUUAAGAACUAAAGUUAGUUCUUUAUUGUGACAUUGUAGGAAUGAAAAUGUAGAAUAUAAUGAAGUAAACCUUUUAUUACUGCAAGGAACUAGACUGUCCCGGAACAAAAUCGCUUU